AAGCUCGUAGUUGAAUUUCGGGGUUAGUAGGUUGGUCAUGCCUCUGGUAUGUACUGGUCUCACUGAUUCCUCCUUCCUUAUGAACCGUAAUGCCAUUAAUUUGGUGUUGCGGGGUAAUUUGGACUGUUACUUUGAAAAAACUUAGAGUGUUUAAAACGCAAGCUAACGCUUGAAUACAUUAGCAUGGAAUAAUGAAACUAGGACGUUCGAUCUUAUUUUAGUUGGUUUCUAGGAUUGACGUAAUGAUUAUAGGGAUAGUUGGG
rnacentral:rRNA from 1 species